CGAAUCAGAAUGUCGCGGUGAAUACGUUCCCGGAUCUUGUACACACCGCCCGUCACACCAUGAGAGUUGGCAACACCCGAAACCUGUGGGCUAACCGAAAGGAGGCAGCAGUCUAAGGUGGGGUCAGUGAUUGGGGUGAAGUCGUAACAAGGUAAC
rnacentral:rRNA from 1 species